rnacentral:lncRNA from 10 species
AGAGUGGCGUCAAAUUCUCCUGCGUCCUGUGAUAUGCAUGAUACAGACCUAAAUGAAACUGGCAUUCUCUUGGGAAGGAAGAGUGGAGAAUGGGUGCUGGAUUGCAACUAACGGCAUCUACUACACUUUCCAGAUCUGCAUUGUAAGAAAAAUGAGAAGAAUUCCUUCAGGAAGAAGAAAAAUGAUACCAGAUGGAUAUGUGGAUCCACAUAAAGGAACGAAGAGCACAGGAAAUAGUAACUAUACUGUCUUGCUCUGUCACCCAGGCUGGAGUGUGGUGGUGCGAUCUUGGCUCACUGCUAGACUGGUUGGAUCCAGGUUUCCUUCGUCAGUCCAGGCAGGACUGUGCGGUUGGAAAAGGGACGGAUGCUGGUCCUGGAAGGGGCGUCGUUAUCUAGAAGCUCCCAACCUAAGUGGGUGACUCAUAGGGAGGGCAAGGAGAGAAGGACACAGCAAGCAACUUACAUGUAAAACAAGACGUGUGGGUUAUUAUGGAAGAAAUUCACAACCAAACUUGGGGUUAGCCCGUAUUGUUUUCCAAGAACUCUAUGUGGACAGUGACAAAAAACAGACCUAAGAACUAGCAGACUGGGCAAAGCUUUUUCACAUAACAACAACAAAAAAAGCAAUUCCUCAGGAAAAAAUGGUCAAUGGGUCAUUGUGUGUAGACAAAACUACAAGUUCUGCUCCAGACUCUGGGGAAACCAUGCUGCCAUCUUCAAGCUGUGGCCAUUCUGUAAUACAGACUACGCUAAAUCACAUGUUGUCAUCAAGGCAGAAUAUUUUGUUCCUUUAUGGGUCAGCCUGGGAUACAAAAUUAGAGAAACUUUGCAAUGAAAAAUCCCUUGUGUCUCAUUGAACUUUUUCCUUAAUUCAAACCUUUCCUUUCACAGUUUUGAUUAGUGCCUUUGCCCAUGUGGACAAUAUUUUAUGAUCAGGUUUUAAGAGUAAUCCAUCCAUGGCUGCUUGGCUGCCUGGAACUUAAAACAACGACAACAACAAUGUCCAGAUAAACCCAAUAAAAUAGGUUUUUAAAUGUGUGUGUGUGUGUGUGUGUGUGUCUGUGUGUGUGUGUGUUGUGCUGAUCUUUAGCCUUGAAGCUUCACUCUUUCCCCUCUUCUGAAGAAAAGGUGUUUGCAGGGUGGCUGAACUUGCCAAACGCUGACGCAGAGUAGAUCCAGCCUGGCAGCUGUCUACAAUUCCUUGAUGGGCCUCUUCUACAAAGAAGAUUGAUGUGAGUCAGCAAAGCCCUCAUUAAGUGAGUCACAUCAUUAAUAAAAGGCGCAGAUUGCAAAGCGGUGUUUAUUUCAGUGUUGAUAGAAACCAGGACACAGUGGCCUUGAAUCAAAAAUAACCUUGGGCCAGACACAUUGAACUUGGAUCAGAUCUGAAAUCCCAGGCAUUCAUCCCUCCCUGAAGGCAAACAUACGUCCAGAUGAUACCGCUGCCUUCCUUGUUGUACAAAUGACUUGCUCCUCAUCACCAGCAUUUACCUUGUGCUUGACAGUUUGCAAAGCCUGUCCACUUACAAACUCUCUUGUUCUGACAUGAGUGAGCCUUAAGCAGUGAUUAAGUGCUCUUGCUCAGGUGUCGAGCAGUCCUGGGUCAGAAUCUCAGCUCUACCAUUUUGAAGCUGUGUGAACUUGGUUAGCUCAUUUAACCCCUCCAAGGUUCAGACGACACUAAAUAAACUCUAAGUACUCUUACUACACUAAGUAAC